rnacentral:rRNA from 1 species
UCGGGAAUUUUGGGCAAUGGGCGAAAGCCUGACCCAGCAACGCCGCGUGAGGGAUGAAGUAUUUCGGUAUGUAAACCUCGAAAGAAUGGGAAGAAUAAAUGACGGUACCAUUUAUAAGCUCCGGCUAACUACGUGCCAGCAGCCGCGGUAAUACGUAGGGAGCAAGCGUUGUUCGGGUUUACUGGGCGUAAAGGGCGCGUAGGCGGCGCGGUAAGUCACUUGUGAAAUCUCUGAGCUUAACUCAGAACGGCCAAGUGAUACUGCUGUGCUAGAGUGCGGAAGAGGCAACCGGAAUUCUUGGUGUAGCGGUGAAAUGCGUAGAUAUCAAGAGGAACACCGGAGACGAAGGCGGGUUGCUGGGCCGACACUGACGCUGAUGCGCGAAAGCCAGGGGAGCAAACG